AGAGUUUGAUCCUGGCUCAGGACGAACGUUGGCGGCGUGCUUAACACAUGCAAGUCGAGCGGUUUGGUGGUGGGUGGUUAGUGGUUCAAAUAGUGGCGGACGGGUGAGUAACGCGUGGAUAAUCUGCCUGUAAGACAGGGAUAACGCCGGGAAACCGGUGCUAAUACCGGAUAACCUCUUUGGAUCGCAUGAUUUGAAGAGAAAAGGUGGCCUCUUUACAAUGCUACCACUUACAGAUGAAUCCGCGUCCCAUUAGCCAGUUGGUGGGGUAAAGGCCUACCAAAGCGACGAUGGGUAGCCGGCCUGAGAGGGUGACCGGCCACACUGGAACUGAGAUACGGUCCAGACUCCUACGGGAGGCAGCAGUGGGGAAUCUUCCGCAAUGGGCGAAAGCCUGACGGAGCAACGCCGCGUGAGCGAAGAAGGUCUUCGGAUUGUAAAAGCUCUGUGAUAUUGGACGAACAAUUUCCCGUAAAUAAUGGGAAGGAAUGACGGUACAAUAAGAGGAAGCCACGGCUAACUACGUGCCAGCAGCCGCGGUAAUACGGAGGGUGCAAGCGUUGUUCGGAAUUACUGGGCGUAAAGGGCGAGUAGGUGGUUUGUUAAGUCAGAAGUGAAAACCCCCGGGUUCAACUUGGAGACUGCUCCUGAAACUGGUAGACUUGAGUGCAAGAGAGGGAAGUGGAAUUCCUAGUGUAGCGGUGAAAUGCGUAGAUAUUAGGAGGAACACCAGUGGCGAAGGCGACUUCCUGGCUUGUAACUGACACUGAGGCGCGAAAGCGUGGGGAUCAAACAGGAUUAGAUACCCUGGUAGUCCACGCCGUAAACGAUGUACACUAGGUGUAGGGGGUGUUGACCUUUCCUGUGUCGCAGCUAACGCGAUAAGUCUACCGCCUGGGGAGUACGGUCGCAAGACUGAAACUCAAAGGAAUUGACGGGGGCCCGCACAAGCGGUGGAGUAUGUGGUUUAAUUCGACGCAACGCGAAGAACCUUACCUAGGUUUGACAUCUUGGGAAUCUCUAUGAAAGUAGAGAGUGCCCUUCGGGGAGCCCAAAGACAGGUGCUGCAUGGCUGUCGUCAGCUCGUGUCGUGAGAUGUUGGGUUAAGUCCCGCAACGAGCGCAACCCUUGUCCUUAGUUGCCAUCAUUUAGUUGGGCACUCUAAGGAGACUGCCGGUGUUAACUAGGAGGAAGGUGGGGAUGACGUCAAGUCCUCAUGGCCCUUAUGUCCAGGGCUACACACGUGCUACAAUGGCCGGUACAAAGGGCAGCAAAGCCGCGAGGUGGAGCCAAUCCCAAAAAGCCGGUCUCAGUUCGGAUUGGAGUCUGCAACUCGACUCCAAGAAGUUGGAAUCGCUAGUAAUCGCGGAUCAGCAUGCCGCGGUGAAUACGUUCCCGGGCCUUGUACACACCGCCCGUCACACCACGGGAGACGAUUGGUCCCGAAGUGCGUGAGCU
rnacentral:rRNA from 1 species